AGGAAUGAACGCUAGCUACAGGCUAACACAUGCAAGUCGAGGGGCAGCAUGAGGCUUGCUGCAAACUUGAUGGCGACCGGCGCACGGGUGAGUAACGCGUAUCCAACUUCCCCUUAGUAGGGCAUAGCCCGGCGAAAGUCGGAUUAAUACCCUAUGUUCUUCGUAGAGGACAUCUGAAAUGAAGCAAAGACUUGUCGCUAAGGGAUGGGGAUGCGUCUGAUUAGGCAGUAGGCGGGGUAACGGCCCACCUAACCGACGAUCAGUAGGGGUUCUGAGAGGAAGGUCCCCCACAUUGGUACUGAGACACGGACCAAACUCCUACGGGAGGCAGCAGUGAGGAAUAUUGGUCAAUGGACGAGAGUCUGAACCAGCCAAGUAGCGUGCAAGGAAGACUGCCCUAUGGGUUGUAAACUGCUUUUAUGCGGGGAUAAAGUGCGGCACGUGUGCCGUUUUGUAGGUACCGCAUGAAUAAGGACCGGCUAAUUCCGUGCCAGCAGCGGC
rnacentral:rRNA from 1 species